rnacentral:rRNA from 1 species
UACGUAGGGUGCAAGCGUUGUCCGGAAUUAUUGGGCGUAAAGAGCUCGUAGGCGGCUUGUUGCGUCGACUGUGAAAACCCACGGCUCAACCGUGUGGUCUGCAGUCGAUACGGGCAGGCUAGAGUUCGGUAGGGGAGACUGGAAUUCCUGGUGUAGCGGUGAAAUGCGCAGAUAUCAGGAGGAACACCGGUGGCGAAGGCGGGUCUCUGGGCAAUUCCUGACGCUGGAGGCGACGAAAGCGUGGGGAGCAAACGGG